rnacentral:rRNA from 1 species
GACGAACGCUGGCGGCGUGCCUAAUACAUGCAAGUAGAACGCUGAAGGAGGAGCUUGCUUCUCUGGAUGAGUUGCGAACGGGUGAGUAACGCGUAGGUAACCUGCCUGGUAGCGGGGGAUAACUAUUGGAAACGAUAGCUAAUACCGCAUAAGAGUAGAUGUUGCAUGACAUUUGCUUAAAAGGUGCAAUUGCAUCACUACCAGAUGGACCUGCGUUGUAUUAGCUAGUUGGUGGGGUAACGGCUUACCAAGGCGACGAUACAUAGCCGACCUGAGAGGGUGAUCGGCCACACUGGGACUGAGACACGGCCCAGACUCCUACGGGAGGCAGCAGUAGGGAAUCUUCGGCAAUGGACGGAAGUCUGAACGAGCAACGCCGCGUGAGUGAAGAAGGUUUUCGGAUCGUAAAGCUCUGUUGUAAGAGAAGAACGAGUGUGAGAGUGGAAAGUUCACACUGUGACGGUAUCUUACCAGAAAGGGACGGCUAACUACGUG